AACGCGGACGUUUAGUGAGAUGACGGCAACCACGCCAGCGGAGAGGGAAGAAAGCUGCGCCGUGCGCUCGCACCCAAACCGCAACGCCCCGCGGCGAGCCGGCUCUCCACCCCGGCCGGCGCGGGCAGAGCUUGCAGAGAGAAGUGGAGGCGUCCUCUAGAACAUCUAGGGCCUGGCUGAGUCCUAAAACCACAAACUACAUCUGUGGAAAAACAAAGUGAGAAGUUAUCUCUUUCACUCAGUGCAAGAAAUAUUUACGGAACACCUGCGGUGAACUAGACAGCAGUUUAAGAUGCUGGCGAAACGACACAAGCAAAAGAAACCGAAGGUUCCGCUGGCCUGGGAGAAUUUGUACGCAGUUUCUCCUCAGUCAUCUUCCUCCACUACCUCUGCCACCGUUCCACCUCCCUCUCACCCCAAACACACACACAAAAAAACAAUCUUUGGCUUGAUGAUUCGCGAUGUAAAUUUGCUGCUUCUCCUUCCAGGAGAAGACCUGAGGAAGGUGGGAUUUUAACAGACUGAAAAAAUAUUUAAUUUCAUGGUCUCGGGAAUAUGUCAUCUUUCAGUGAGGAUUUGCUCACAGAAUUAAUUCCAGUCCUGCACACUGAGAAAUUCCAAGAUCAAGAUGCCAGAUAUUGAAGUGUCUGGAGAGGACCUUCUAGCUGUGUCCCCUGAAGGUAGAAGGGGCAAGCUUGCCAUCCGGGGUCUUCUUAUCUACAUUGCUCUGGUCUGAAUAUUUGUAUCCUACAAGAAUUCAUAUGUUGAAAUUCUAACUUGCAAGGAGUUGGUGUAAAACAGGUGGCGUUGGGGCUGGGAUGUAGCCCAGCGGUAGAAACCUUCCUUAAUGUGCAUUGAAAAAAGGAGAAGGAGAGGUACGGCCUUUGGAGGAUCAUUAGGUAAAAUACUGAGAAAAAGGACGGGAUUGUCUAAAAGGAUACAACAGUGAAAUGAGUGACAACUGCACCAUCCUUUAGUUCUUUUUCUUUUUUUCAUGUAACAUGAGGAUGACUUACUAUAUUUUCCAAAGGAAAAUGAUAACUUGCUAAUGGUAGAGGAGGGUACAAAGACAUCAUUCUUUGGAAAGCACAUGUUUCUUUCUGCAUGUUCUUCAUCAUUUUUUUUUUUACUUUAAGGUCAAUUAUAUUUAAAAAGACAGG